rnacentral:rRNA from 1 species
UGGGGAAUUUUUGGCAAUGGGGGAAACCCUGACCAAGCAACGCCGCGUGGGUGAUGAAGUCUCUUGGGACGUAAAACCCUUUCGACGGGGAAGAAACCGCAAGGUUGACGGUACCCGUAGAAGAAGCCCCGGCUAACUCCGUGCCAGCAGCCGCGGUAAUACGGGGGGGGCAAGCGUUGUUCGGAAUUACUGGGCGUAAAGGGCGCGUAGGCGGUUCGCUAAGUUGGAUGUGAAAACUCUGGGCUCAACCCAGAGCCUGCAUCCAAAACUGGCGGGCUAGAGUUCUGGAGGGGGUAGCGGAAUUCCUGGUGUAGCGGUGAAAUGCGUAGAUAUCAGGAGGAACACCGGUGGCGAAGGCGGCUACCUGGACAGAAACUGACGCUGAGGCGCGAAAGCUAGGGGAGCAAACAGGAUUAGAUACCCUGGUAGUCCUAGCCCUAAACGAUGGAUACUUGGUGUGACGGGGAUUGAAUCCCGUCGUGCCGAAGCUAACGCAUUAAGUAUCCCGCCUGGGGAGUACGGUCGCAAGGCUGA